rnacentral:rRNA from 1 species
GACUUUGCGGUCUCGCGAAUGCUCCAGAUUAUUAGUUUGAUCAUGGCUCAGAGUGAACGCUGGCGGUAGNGCCUAACACAUGCAAGUCGAACGGCAGCACAGGAGAGCUUGCUCUCUGGGUGGCGAGUGGCGGACGGGUGAGUGAAUACAUCGGAAUCUACUUUUUCGUGGGGGAUAACGUAGGGAAACUUACGCUAAUACCGCAUACGACCUACGGGUGAAAGCAGGGGAUCUUCGGACCUUGCGCGAUUGAAUGAGCCGAUGUCGGAUUAGCUAGUUUGGCGGGGUAAAGGCCCACCAAGGCGACGAUCCGUAGCUGGUCUGAGAGGAUGAUCAGCCACACUGGAACUGAGACACGGUCCAGACUCCUACGGGAGGCAGCAGUGGGGAAUAUUGGACAAUGGGCGCAAGCCUGAUCCAGCCAUACCGCGUAGGGUAGAAGAAGGCCUUCGGGUUGUAAAGCCCUUUUGUUAGGGAAAGAAAUCCAGCUGGCUAAUACCCGGUAUGGGAUAGACGGUACCCAAAG